rnacentral:rRNA from 1 species
CAGUAGCCGCGGUAAUACAGAGGGUGCGAGCGUUAAUCGGAUUUACUGGGCGUAAAGCGUGCGUAGGCGGCUAAUUGAGUCGGAUGUGAAAUCCCCGAGCUUAACUUGGGAAUUGCAUUCGAUACUGGUUAGCUAGAGUGUGGGAGAGGAUGGUAGAAUUCCAGGUGUAGCGGUGAAAUGCGUAGAGAUCUGGAGGAAUACCGAUGGCGAAGGCAGCCAUCUGGCCUAAUACUGACGCUGAGGUACGAAAGCAUGGGGAGCAAACAGGAUUAGAUACCCCCGUAGUCCCUGUCUCUUAUAC